CGUACCCAGCGCUGCCCCACGACGCCCUGUAACGGCCGUGUCAGUGGCAGCUCCAUCGUGCCCCACGAUGACGAACCCCCCUGAAAGACCCCCCAGCCUGGUAUAUAUGCGGCUGGGGGGAGAAGGGGGGGUAAGCAAGAACUUCCAGAGCAUUCUCUUACUUGCUACUAUUAUCUCUCCUUAUCCUCCAAUCUCCUCUGACUUGAUCGUCGGAGGGCCCCCACUA
rnacentral:lncRNA from 1 species